GAGGAAGUGAUGAUCGUUUCCCCAAAUGAUCGACUCUGAUUAUAUUGUGCAUUUUGUUUAUUUAAUUCUCUUUAUCAGAGAGAAUUACCCAGACAUGACUCUGAUUCAU
rnacentral:snoRNA from 1 species